GGCUCGGUGGUAGAGGGUCCACACUCACAUCUGUUAUAAACUCCAUAGUGCAGUUUCUGCGAGAGACGCCCGUUCGACUCGGGUCCGAGCUA